rnacentral:lncRNA from 1 species
CGAAGGUAUGAAUUUGUUUCUUAAGACAAAAUUUACAUCUAUCAGAAUAUGAUUAAUACCAUUCGUGAGUCUGAAAAUUUGGACGAUCACAAAGACACUUUCUGGCAUCCAAGAUUUAUUACGUCUAUGGACAUUGAGAAAGAUGCUUUGACUUCCUUUACCACUGCUAUUUUCCUUUUAUUUCAAGAGGAAAUGUGGAAAAGCUUCUUCUACCAUAUAUUACCACUGAAUGACAAGUCUUCCGAGGUUUUUAUUUUUUCUAUCACUUUGGUUUUUCCGUUUUUUGUUCAUUAUACUUUUGCAUAGGCUUACCAUUUUAUUCUACAAAUUUUUUUCUUUCUUACAGGAUACUCAAUAUCUACCAGUUAUGUCUUUAGAAAGACAAAGCGUGUUAUUUAAACUCACUCUUACGAAAGGGAAUUCUACACCGAUAUGCACAUGCCAUCGUUUUCAAUAUAGCGGCA